CCGGGUCCGAGUCAAAGCAGAGACUUAAAUGGUCCGGCUCUCGUGCUGGCCUUAGACGAGACUGCGGUUCCCUGGCCAGUCCCCGGUGAAUCUGAGGGUGGAUCGCGGCAAGAUGCUCCCGGAGAGCCGCAAGCCCAGAUGCCCAUCCAGCCUCCAGGCAAAGAAGCAGAAGAGAUGGAGGCAGAAGGCGACUCAGCAACUGAGAUGAAUGGAGAGGCGGAUGAGAGUGAGGAGGAACGGAGCGGCAGCCAGACUGAGUCAGAGGAGGAGAGCUCAGAGAUGGAUGAUGAAGACUAUGAGCGGCGCCGCAGUGAGUGUGUCAGUGAGAUGCUGGACCUGGAAAAGCAGUUCUCAGAGCUGAAGGAAAAGUUGUUCAGGGAACGGUUGAGCCAGCUGCGCUUGAGACUGGAGGAGGUGGGGGCUGAGAGGGCCCCAGAAUACACCGAGCCUCUGGGAGGGCUGCAGCAAAGCCUAAAGAUCCGAAUUCAAGUUGCAGGAAUCUACAAGGGCUUCUGUCUGGAUGUGAUCAGGAAUAAAUAUGAGUGUGAACUCCAGGGAGCCAAGCAGCACCUAGAGAGUGAGAAGCUGCUGCUGUAUGACACACUCCUUGGGGAGCUGCAGGAGCGGAUCCAGAGGCUGGAGGAGGACCGGCAGAGCCUAGACAUCAGCUCUGAGUGGUGGGAUGACAAACUACACGCCAGAGGCAGCUCAAAGACCUGGGACUCAUUGCCACCCAGCAAGAGGAAGAAGGCACCUCUCGUCUCUGAUAUCCUUCCGCUCAGAGUCGCCCUGAAACUGGGCGAGACAAGGCAGGCCCUGGGCUCAGGGAAGUUAGCGGGAUUGUAUGGGACAGAGUCAAACUAGAAUCAUUCAUGGUCAUUUGAUGUCACUUGAAAUGUCCAGCCGUCAGGAUUUUCUUCUGUGUCCUGGGUCCUCUUGAGCUCAGUGGAGACCAAAGAAACAGAAAACCUAGCUCACUGACUCCUAGUAAUUUCCUGAGAAAGGAUGAGCCUACAAAGCCUUCUGGCUUUCCCUCGGUGUCCUGGUGUCAGCCCCAUGCUGUCUCAGGCCUUGCUCAACCCUUGUGGAGCUAUUGCUUGUCUAUGCAGUAGUGUCAUGUCAGAUGCUGUGUCCUCUGAGGUCUUUCCUGGUCCAUAGCCCCCAGCCCUAUGCAUGUGUUCUCUUCCGUAUUGAGCCGUGAGACAGGGGACUCUGUCUAUGACCCGCCUGUGCUGCAGAGCAUAGCACUGAGUGGAGGUCUGCCACCUCUACAGUGUCAGCCCUGGGACCACCUCAGGAUGGAGGUGGGAUGGAGACUUUAUUGAACCAUUGUGGGUAAAGGUAGAUUUCAGAACCAGAGCACAGUGUGCUAUCAGGAGGGAAGAGGCCAGGGUCCACAUUUAGGUGAGGGAGGGUCCAAUGAGGCCGUUCCUGACAGAACCAUACAAAGCAGCAAGAGCAGGGCUCCCCGGGAUGGCAUGGGACUUGGUCAGCUGAUCUGGAAAAAGGCUGAGAGUGAGUGAGGGAAAUGGGUAAGGUAUCAUGACCAACACAGUCACCAAGCACUAGGGUCCCUGAGGCAGGAGGUGGAGCUUGGAUUAAGCCCAAGGUCUCACUGAGUGUAAAGGCGCGGGCCUUUAAUCCUAUUGCUCAGGAGGCAGAGGUAGGUAACUGAGUUCCAGACUAGCCAGGGCUACAUGGAGAGACUGUGUCUCCCAAAAAAAAAAAAAAAAGGCUCUUGUCACCCCCCUCACACUACCCAUGUACCACCUCUCCUAAGCGGCAGGUGGGUGGUACUGCCACCUGUCCACCCGUGGCCUUCCAGUGGAGCCGGUCCUGUGUCUCCUGCUUCCUUGACCCCUGUGCAGGCCCAUACAUUGUAUACAUGCUGCAGGAGAUCGACAUCCUGGAAGACUGGACGGCUAUCAAAAAGGCCAGGGCAGCAGUAUCCCCUCAGAAGAGAAAAGCAGAUGGACCCUGACCCUGCAUUUCCACUCAGAGGGUCCUUGGAGCAGCUGGCACCACACACAGGACUAACAUUUUUCUGCAAAGACAGGGGGUUGCCUAGUAGCUCUCUAGUGCUACUGCUGUCCCCUGACCAACACUGGCCUGGACUCCUCUGUUCUCCUUGGGGAUCUGCAUAGCUGUGACCCUGAAGCUGAUCUGGCCAGCAAGACUCCAUCCCUGCUCCUCCCCCCCCCAGAGUAACUUCCUCAGUGUCCCCCCAAUAAAAUGGACUUCAUCAAAGUGGCAACCCUUCUGACCCCCAGCCUCUGGGCCAGGAGCUGGGCCCCACUGCAGGAGAACUCUUGAGCCAGAAACAUGUUGGGGUCUUGCUAUCCUGGCUGUCGCUGGAGAUGGCAGCUCCCAGUCUUUCUCAGGGCCAUUCCUGGUGUCUGCCUCCCAGAUCCUAAAGACUGGAAUAAAACUCAUCCUGGGACCUCGACGUGA